rnacentral:rRNA from 1 species
AUUGAACGCUGGCGGCAGGCCUAACACAUGCAAGUCGAACGAGUGGCGGACGGGUGAGUAAUGUCUGGGAAACUGCCUGAUGGAGGGUGAUAACUACUGGAAACGGUAGCUAAUACCGCAUACCAUCGGAUGUGCCCAGAUGGGAUUAGCUAGUAGGUUGGGUAAAGGCUCACCUAGGCGACGAUCCCUAGCUGGUCUGAGAGGCUGACCCGCCACAAUGUAACGUAGUCACGGUCCAGCCUCCUACGGGAGGCAGCAGUAGGGAAUCUGCGGCAAUGGGGGGCAGCCUGACCGGGCAACGCCGCGUGAGUGAAGAAGGCUUGCGGGUUGUAUAGUACUUUCAGCGGGGAGGCGUUACCCGCAGAAGAAGCACCGGCUAUCUCCGUGCCAGCAGCCGCGGUAAUUC